ACUUUUUUGAGUUGACUGUUCAGAUUGUUGAGUUGAUCCUAGCCAGUUUUCUGAAGGUUGUUCUAUGAUGCUUCCAGUCGAUCCAGAGCUCCUGUCAAAGAAAAAUGAUAGAUUCAGGAAGGAUUGGCAAUAUUAGAUCAAUUGCAAAAAGCAAAGUCAAAUGCAGUCAGUAUUGCCAUCGAAGGCAUGGACAUGUGCAAGAAGAAUCACACUUGGGAAUGGCUGUCCUUUUUGGAUGAACCAAAAAUAGUGUCAAUGAUGAAACAUUCCAGCAGUGUAGGCAAAGGAAGAAGAAAAGCUCUCUGCCACACCUGCAGAAGAAUGGAAAUUGUAAAGUAAUAGACAUGAGACAGGAUAUGUCUUUUUUUCUUUUUUUUUUUUUGGUAUUUAUCUAUUUACUAGUGAACCACAGUACAGAACCUUUUAAUAGCAUUGCAUCGUUCAAAAAAUGCAUGAAUGUGCUAUUUUUUCUGCACCUUAGCUUUGUGUUCAGACUGGUGAAAAUAAACAGCAAUGCAACCUCAGAUGAGUUCAACAAGUAGAUAAAAGUAUAAUAUAGUUACAUAUAUACCUAUUUUGUGGUAUACUGUAUAGCCUAAAUAUGUUCAAACGUGGUGUCAGUAAAUGUUGAAUGUCGAGUAACGUUAUCCAUUUGGUACCACAUGUGAAUGGUUCCACGUGCUUACCUGUUUUUAUAUGUUUGAAAUCCAAUGUAGAGGUUUUUCACGAAGUGUGCUGUCAGGAAAGUGUAGAGGCUUCGUCACAAUAGUUGAAUUUGCAGAUUCCCUUGGCCUUCUAUUCACUUUUGAUGCCUGUUUCUGUUUAUGAAAAAAAGAACAUGGUCUUUUUGAAAGGAGACCAGUCGUUAUUUUAGUGUUAUUAGCUCAUUUCUGGACCAUUUUUCCCCUCACUUUUUUGUAUGACCAUUGAAUUGCCUACUUGAAUGGUCAACUUCAAUAGAAACAAGAUGGAGAGCAAGGCUCUGAAAGUUGUCAAUUUUCCACUGUUCAAAAUGAAUCAUGCUUUAUUUUUUUUAAAUACCUUUUUUAAAAUCAUAUUUUUGUUAUCCAUUUUUGAGAGCCUGUUUUAUCUCUAUAUUUUUGUUGGAGAUGAAGAUGUUUUCAUUAGGACAAAUGCACACUGGACUGCAGUGCUUUUCUAUCUGCUGCAGCAUUCAAACUUUGUACAUUCUGUAGACUUCAGAAGAACAUGCUUUUAUAUAUAAACAUCAAAUAAUUUGCAAAAGGCUAACUUCCAGAUCCUCUGCUUGAUACAAUUACGGGAUGUGAAGUCUGAUUCUGUCCUCAACUUGUGGACCUGCUCUGAGGAUGUUGGACACCACUGUUGCACCUUCAGCCAUUUAUCUUUUUCCUGUCAGUCGAUGCGCUGACUGACCUCAAGGCGCAGAAGGUGUUUUAAGGUAUAGGAAGAGGUCUGAUCAUCUAGUCUGGUGCAGUGGGGUGUUCCAGGUCCGCAACACUUAAAGAGAAAACUUCUUAAUCAUGAUGACACGGUAAGGUCCUCUGCUUACCAUACUAGAGGGACAUAGUCUGUUUCAGUCCUCAACUUGCGGACCUGCCCUGAGGAUGUUAUACACCACUGUUGCGCCUUCAGCCAUGUUGAUUUCCGACUGGUUGUCUUUGGACUACAUGCCAUGGGCUGACUGACCUGAACKUUUACCAGAA